AGCCCCCCGAGUGGUGGGGAUGUUUAUUUGGCCUAAAGCGUCCGUAGCCAGCUAGGUAAAUCCUUCGUUAAAUCCAGCGUCCUAUGCGUUGGGCUGCGAGGGAGACUGCUCAGCUAGAGGGUGGGAGAGGUCAGCGGUAUUUCUGUGGUAGGGGCGAAAUCCAUUGAUCCCAGGAGGACCACCAGUGGCGAAGGCUGCUGACUAGAACACGCCUGACGGUGAGGGACGAAAGCUGGGGUAGCGAAUCGGAUUAGAUACCCGAGUAGCCC
rnacentral:rRNA from 1 species